rnacentral:piRNA from 1 species
UCAGAUGUCUGGGGACAGUCAUUGAGCAA